CGCNUNCCCGGGUUUCAGAUUCUGCAGUCAGAGCGAACGGACGAGAAGUUGUACGCUCUUCUUAGCGGCGGACGGGUGAGUAACACGUGGUAACCUACCUAUAAGACUGGGUAACUUCGGGAAACCGGAGCUAAUACCGGAUAAUAUUUUGAACCGCAUGUAUCAAAAGUGAAAGACGGUCUUGCUGUCACUUAUAGAUGGAUCCGCGCUGCAUUAGCUAGUUGGUAAGGUAACGGCUUACCAAGGCAACGAUGCAUAGCCGACCUGAGAGGGUGAUCGGCCACACUGGAACUGAGACACGGUCCAGACUCCUACGGGAGGCAGCAGAAGGGAAUCUUCCGCAAUGGGCGAAAGCCUGAGGUAGCAACGCCGUGUGAGGGAGGAAGGCCUUCGGAACGCACCCCUCUGUUAUUAAAAAAAAAACAUAUGUGCAAGUCCCUCUGCACAUCUUGACGGAAACAAAUCAGAAAGUCACGGCUAACUACGAAAAUAUUUAAAAAAAAA
rnacentral:rRNA from 1 species